UACGUAGGCAGCAAGCGUUGUUCGGAGUUACUGGGCGUAAAGGGUGCGUAGGCGGCUUUUUAAGUUUGGUGUGAAAUCUCCCGGCUCAACUGGGAGGGUGCGCCGAACACUGAGAGGCUAGAGUGUGGGAGAGGAAAGUGGAAUUCCUGGUGUAGCGGUGAAAUGCGUAGAUAUCAGGAGGAACACCGGUGGUGUAAACGGCUUUCUGGACCAUAACUGACGCUGAUGCACGAAAGCGUGGGUAGCAAACAGG
rnacentral:rRNA from 1 species